GGCGGACGGGUGAGUAAUGUAUAGUUAAUUUGCCCCUUAGAGAGGGAUAACAGUUGGAAACGACUGCUAAUACCUCAUACUCCUUCUACCUUAAUGGUAGUUGGGAAAUGUUUUUUCGCUAAGGGAUGAGACUAUAUGGUAUCAGGUAGUUGGUGGGGUAAGAGCCUACCAAGCCUAUGACGCCUAGCUGGUCUGAGAGGAUGAUCAGCCACACUGGAACUGAGACACGGUCCAGACUCCUACGGGAGGCAGCAGUGGGGAAUAUUGCACAAUGGAGGAAACUCUGAUGCAGCAACGCCGCGUGGAGGAUGACGCAUUUCGGUGUGUAAACUCCUUUUAUAUGGGAAGAUAAUGACGGUACCAUAUGAAUAAGCACCGGCUAACU
rnacentral:rRNA from 1 species